GUUAGGAAUAUUGGACAAUGGGCGCAAGCCUGAUCCAGCCAUGCCGCGUGAGUGAUGAAGGCCUUCGGGUUGUAAAGCUCUUUAGUCCACGAAUAUAAUGACUGUAGUGGAAGAAUAAGCCCCGGCUAACUUCGUGCCAGCAGCCGCGGUAAUACGAAGGGGGCGAGCGUUAUUCGGAAUCACUGGGCGUAAAGCGUGCGUAGGCUGUUUUGUAAGUCAGAAGUGAAAGCCCAGGGCUUAACCCUGGAAUUGCUUUUGAAACUACAAGACUCGAAUUCGGGAGAGGAUAGCGGAAUUGUCAGUGUAGCAGUGAAAUGCAUAGAUAUUGACAGGAACACCAGUGGCACAAGCGGCUAUCUGGACCGAUAUUGACGCUGAGGCACGAAAGCGUGGGGAGCAAACAGGAUUAGAAACCCUUGUAGUCC
rnacentral:rRNA from 1 species